CCUACGGGAGGCAGCAGUGAGGAAUAUUGGUCAAUGGCCGGAAGGCUGAACCAGCCAUGCCGCGUGAAGGUCAGUGCCCUAUGGGCGUUAAACUUCUUUUGUGCGGGAGCAAUAAUGGUCACGUGUGGCCAGACGAGAGUACCGUACGAAUAAGCAUCGGCUAACUCCGUGCCAGCAGCCGCGGUAAUACGGGGGAUCCAAGCGUUAUCCGGAUUUAUUGGGUUUAAAGGGUGCGUAGGCGGAUUGAUAAGUUAGAGGUGAAAUGUCCGAGCUUAACUCGGGAACUGCCUCUAAUACUGUUGAUCUAGAGAGUAGAUGCGGUAGGCGGAAUGUAUGGUGUAGCGGUGAAAUGCUUAGAGAUCAUACAGAACACCGAUUGCGAAGGCAUCUCACGAAUCCGCGAUUGACGCUGAUGCACGAAAGCGUGGGUAUCAAACAGGAUUAGAUACCCCGGUAGUC
rnacentral:rRNA from 1 species